rnacentral:rRNA from 1 species
AACGAACGCUGGCGGCAGGCUUAACACAUGCAAGUCGAGCGCCCCGCAAGGGGAGCGGCAGACGGGUGAGUAACGCGUGGGAAUCUACCCAUCACUACGGAACAACUCCGGGAAACUGGAGCUAAUACCGUAUACGUCCUUCGGGAGAAAGAUUUAUCGGUGAUGGAUGAGCCCGCGUUAGAUUAGCUAGUUGGUGGGGUAAAGGCCUACCAAGGCGACGAUCUAUAGCUGGUCUGAGAGGAUGAUCAGCCACACUGGGACUGAGACACGGCCCAGACUCCUACGGGAGGCAGCAGUGGGGAAUAUUGGACAAUGGGCGCAAGCCUGAUCCAGCCAUGCCGCGUGUGUGAUGAAGGCCUUAGGGUUGUAAAGCACUUUCAACGGUGAAGAUAAUGACGGUAACCGUAGAAGAAGCCCCGGCUAACUUCGUGCCAGCAGCCGCAGCAAUAA